rnacentral:rRNA from 1 species
AUCAAUAAGCGGAGGAAAAGAAACCAACAGGGAUUGCCCUAGUAACGGCGAGUGAAGCGGCAACAGCUCAAAUUUGAAAUCUGGCCCUAGGCCCGAGUUGUAAUUUGUAGAGGAUGUUUCUGGCGAAGUGCCUUCCGAGUUCCCUGGAACGGGACGCCAUAGAGGGUGAGAGCCCCGUACGGUUGGAUGCCUAGCCUCUGUGAAACUCCUUCGACGAGUCGAGUAGUUUGGGAAUGCUGCUCUAAAUGGGAGGUAUACGUCUUCUAAAGCUAAAUACCGGCCAGAGACCGAUAGCGCACAAGUAGAGUGAUCGAAAGAUGAAAAGCACUUUGAAAAGAGGGUUAAAUAGUACGUGAAAUUGUUGAAAGGGAAGCGGUUAUGACCAGACUUGGACAGGUUGAUCAUGCACGGUUCUCUGUGGUGCACUCUGCCUGUUCAGGCCAGCAUCAGUUCGCUUCGGGGGAUAAAGGCUUUGGGAAUGUGGCUCCCUCGGGAGUGUUAUAGCCCAUUGUGUAAUACCCUGAUCCGGACUGAGGUUCGCGCAUCUGCAAGGAUGCUGGCGUAAUGGUCAUCACCGACCCGUCUUGAAACACGGACCAAGGAGUCGUCUUCGUAUGCGAGUGUUCGGGUGUCAAACCCCUACGCGGAAUGAAAGUGAACGUAGGAGAGAGCUUCGGCGCAUCUCCGACCGAUCCUGAUGUUCUCGGAUGGAUUUGAGUAAGAGCAUACGGGGCCGGACCCGAAAGAAGGUGAACUAUGCCUGUGUAGGGUGAAGCCAGAGGAAACUCUGGUGGAGGCUCGCAGCGGUUCUGACGUGCAAAUCGAUCGUCAAACAUGGGCAUGGGGGCGAAAGACUAAUCGAACCUUCUAGUAGCUGGUUUCCGCC